GCGGGAUUCGUCAUGCCAUCUCGAUGUGUAGCGAUAUGAAUUACUCACAGGAAGACUCGAGACUCUAGGAGUGGUCCAAAAAAAAACUUCUCCUGCAAAGCCACGACAGCUUUGAAAACCUACAACAAUGCAACCUUGGUUUUCCAAAGACGAAGCCAAACAUAAAAAAUUAAGUGGCGGAAACCCUCAACACGAUGAAAAAAGCGUUGCAAGUCAGUUGCCACCCAGUUUCCCAAAAUCAAGAGAGAGUGGGUCGAGUCAUAUGAUGACCGAAGUGAUGCGGUGUCCAGCGAUGACGACUGAAGAGAUCCUAUGAGGCCUGCCAGAUGCUGAAUUUCUUCCAUCUGCGACAUCAGAUGACGAUGAUUUAGGAGAAAUAAAUGUAGCAAAUUUUGAUGACAUGAAAUCAUAAACUAGUCAUAUAUACAGUACACAUUUUUUAAAAGAAAAAUCAAGUUACCUUCAUAUUUUAAUGAUAAUGCAUUAUCUUUGUAUAGAGAACACUUCAUGCUACAGAAAAGAGUAAAUACAUAUUUCCCACUGCCGUUAUCAUUUUUCAAUGUUCCGCUAGUCCGUUGCUAUCCUAAC